rnacentral:rRNA from 1 species
GACGAACGCUGGCGGCGUGCCUAAUACAUGCAAGUAGAACGCUGAAGGAGGAGCUUGCUUCUCCGGAUGAGUUGCGAACGGGUGAGUAACGCGUAGGUAACCUGCCUGGUAGCGGGGGAUAACUAUUGGAAACGAUAGCUAAUACCGCAUAACAGUAGAUAUCGCAUGAUAUCUGCUUGAAAGGUGCAAUUGCAUCACUACCAGAUGGACCUGCGUUGUAUUAGCUAGUUGGUGAGGUAACGGCUCACCAAGGCGACGAUACAUAGCCGACCUGAGAGGGUGAUCGGCCACACUGGGACUGAGACACGGCCCAGACUCCUACGGGAGGCAGCAGUAGGGAAUCUUCGGCAAUAGACGGAAGUCUGACCGAGCAACGCCGCGGGAGUGAAGAAGGUUUUCGGAUCGUAAAGCUCUGUUGUAAGAGAAGAACGAGUGUGAGAGUGGAAAGUUCACACUGUGACGGUAUCUUACCAGAAAGGGACGGCUAACUACGUG